rnacentral:rRNA from 1 species
UACGUAGGGGCCGAGCGUUGUCCGGAGUUACUGGGCGUAAAGCGCGCGCAGGCGGCUCGCUUUGCCCGGCGUGAAAGCCCCCGGCUCAACCGGGGAGGGUCGUCGGGGACGGGCGAGCUUGAGGCCGGCAGGGGCAGGUGGAAUUCCCGGUGUAGUGGUGAAAUGCGUAGAGAGUCAUGAGGAAGACCAGUGGCGAAGGCGGGUCUCUGGACAGUUCCUGACACUGGAGGCACGAAGGCCAGGGGAGCAAACGGG